rnacentral:rRNA from 1 species
GAUGAACGCUGGCGGCGUGCCUAAUACAUGCAAGUCGAGCGAACAGAUAAGGAGCUUGCUCCUUUGACGUUAGCGGCGGACGGGUGAGUAACACGUGGGUAACCUACCUAUAAGACUGGGAUAACUUCGGGAAACCGGAGCUAAUACCGGAUAAUAUUUCGAACCGCAUGGUUCGAUAGUGAAAGAUGGUUUUGCUAUCACUUAUAGAUGGACCCGCGCCGUAUUAGCUAGUUGGUAAGGUAACGGCUUACCAAGGCGACGAUACGUAGCCGACCUGAGAGGGUGAUCGGCCACACUGGAACUGAGACAUGGUCCAGACUCCUACGGGAGGCAGCAGUAGGGAAUCUUCCGCAAUGGGCGAAAGCCUGACGGAGCAACGCCGCGUGAGUGAUGAAGGUCUUCGGAUCGUAAAACUCUGUUAUUAGGGAAGAACAUACGUGUAAGUAACUGUGCACGUCUUGACGGUACCUAAUCAGAAAGCCACGGCUAACUACGUGCCAGCCGCCGCAGAAC